CCAAUAGCGUAUAUUAAAGUUGUUGCAGUUAAAAAGCUCGUAGUUGAAUUUCGGGAUCAGAUUGUCGGUCGUGCCUCGGUACGCACUGGCAUUAUUGGUUCCUACCUUCUGAAGAACCGCGAUGUCAUUAAUUUGGUGUCGUGGGGAAUCAGGACUGUUACUUUGAAAAAAUUAGAGUGUUUAAAGCAGGCGCACGCUUGAAUACAUUAGCAUGGAAUAAUGAAAUAGGACGUUUGAUUCUAUUUUGUUGGUUUCUAGGAUCGAUGUAAUGAUUAAUAGGGAUAGUUGGGGGCAUUAGUAUUCAAUUGUCAGAGGUGAAAUUCUUGGAUUUAUUGAAGACUAACUACUGCGAAAGCAUUUGCCAAGGAUGUUUUCAUUAAUCAAGAACGAAAGUUAGGGGAUCGAAGACGAUCAGAUACCGUCGUAGUCUUAACCAUAAACUAUGCCGACUAGGGAUCGGAUGAUGUUAAUUUUUUAAUGACUCAUUCGGCGCCUUGCG
rnacentral:rRNA from 1 species